CCGUCGCUACUACCGAUUGAAUGGUUUAGCAAGGUCAUCGGAUUGGUUCCACUCUGGUUGCUCGUCAGCCUUGUUGGGACUGAGAAGACGACCGAGCUUGAUCAUUUAGAGGAAGUAAAAGUCGUAACAAGGUUUCCGUAGGUGAACCUUCGGAAGGAUCAU
rnacentral:rRNA from 1 species